UCUAUGAUACUUUUCAGGCUUCAAACAUCCUGUGGAAUCUCAACCAUCAAAAUUGGAAAGGUUAGCUAGAAAACUAGAAGAGUUACAUGAAUUCAUGAUGAAUUGCAAAUGCCUUGAAUGACAGAGUCUGGACAAAAUAACUGACUAACCUUGAGUAAUGGAUUCAGUCCAACAAAGGUGUUUCUGUUACAAGAAAGAUAGUGACAAAGAGUCAAAAGAGUCUCCAAAGACUUCCUUUGGGUUCAAUUGAUGUUAUUGAGACUCAACAAUGUCAUUAAGAGCCUUGCUUCUUUCCUGCCCUCUCCAUAGUGUCACCUUCAUCCAAAGGUCAAUCCCCAUUAAAGUCUCAAUAGUUCCUAGUACUUCUGCAGCUACAUAUCCAGCAAUACAUCCAGGAAGAGAGAAGUUGGGUCUCCUCCAGAAACACUCAGAAGGCAAAGAAGCAUUCAGUAAUCAUUGACAUUAUAUUGGCCCAAACUGGAUUACAUGUCUCCAUACCCAGUGCUAGCUACAUUGUCUGAAGACCUCAGUGCAUUCAUGAAAAUGAAGUUCAAAAAUCAGCUUUAAAAAACUACAUUAAAUGUGGUAAAAUAUAAAGCUUUUCAUUUUUCCUCUUACUUGACCUCUCAUAGUGUUUCAUAUUUACUAUUUAAUGUUAUUCUAAGUAAAUAAAAAUUUGAAUUAUUAGCAAA